CGGACCAGUGAUGAGGCGCGUGACGGGAAGAGUCCUGAAGGAUGAAAGCAUCUCUGAAACUCUGAGGUCUGU